UAUCCGCAGAAAAUGAACCGAGAAAGACUGUUAGGCACAUGAACUAGAUUCCCUAAAUAUUACAAAUGUCAUGAAUUACAUCCCUGCCAACAUUUCCAGUAAAAUUUACAUCAAGCAUAGAGGCACAAUUCUGGUCAGGUCUUAGGAAAUUGGCUUUCUUUCUUUUGAUUAUCUAGAUGAUGAUUAGAACCCAAAUUGAGAAUGAUAGAUUAGGGAUGCAGUUUUGUGAGAUUGUAAGCCUCGAAGCCAUCACCUACCUUGCACACUGGCAGGAGAUUGUCCACCUCUCUCACUGCCAAUAUCAUCUUCUACUCCACUCACGUCUAAACAAAGGCCAUUGUUGUUUACACUGACUUCAGAGCUAGCAUUACUGCUGGUGGCAAGAGGAGAAUCUGAAACACUAACCGUUCUGCUUCGUGCAGGCCCUGAUCUCACACUGUACAUAGAGGAUGCAGGAAUAUUUGUCAUCAACGGCCGCAAAUUACCAGGAAUGGUUCGCCUUAUAUCCUGCAAUCAAAAGUUAAAUCAAAUAUUAAUAUCACUGGGUUUCUGGGAUGUACAUCAAAUCAUAAACAGGAAAAGAAUGAUUACCAUGUGACGUAUAGCCAUAUCAAGGGAUUUCUUUGAGAGUGUUCUACCAAAGCCGGAACUGUCUGGGGAUGAAGAUGACUUCCCAGAGUUACCAUGAGGUGACGGUUUGUCAUCAUGCUUGGGGGGAGCCAGUCUCCGCAUAUUUAUUACCCUCUCAACCAUUUUCGUUCCCAUUAAAACAGGGCUCACAUUGUCAUUAACUUUAGAACGCCCACGACUGAAUGCAGGAACAGAGCUCCCACUAAUAUGAGUACUGCCAUUGGGAGCCCUUCCUCUUGAAGGAGAGCAUAAACAGUAGCAAAACCUUCUCAAAUCAAGUAAAUUUUUCAAACGCAAUUUAUAAGCUGAGCAAAGUGAUUGCAGCUUGGGCAGAUGCGAAAGAGUUCAAUAGUUCAGACACUCAUGUAACGGCCAAUCAGGCUUUGCAAUGAACAAGUUUUGACCUUUUCUGCUUCCUAUUGCAUAUUUUUUAGGAUAAUAAAUGCCAAGCGUAUUAAUUACUUGAAAGUUAAAAAGGAGAGUCAAAAUCAAAUCCAUAUGAAACGGCUACUCCUAUCACAUAGAGAUGCAUAUACUCCAACCACUCCAGAUUAAGAAUUACUACCCUCAUAAUAAGGAAGUGCUAACUCUAGAUUUGAGUGCAGUUGGACGAGCCUUUGGGGUUCCAAGCUGACUCAUCAUGGUCUUAUGUGAUUCCAUUUACAGUGAAGGGAAAAGAGGAGUCCCAGGCGGAGUUAAAAGCCUGCAGCAAGGGGGGAAAAAUCAUAUAAUGAUCUCAGUUAAAGCAGAACAUAAUAUAUAAUAAGACCCAACUUCAAAAGCCAAUUGCCACCUCUGCUAAAGUCUGAUCCUAAUAUGCUCUUAAGAACAAAAUAACACAUGUUUCCAUGAACUGUGGUCAGCAUUCCUUUCCAAAAAUUACUCAUAGUAGAUCCCCGCCUCCCCUAUUAUCUAUCAAAACCCUCUCAGCUAAAAAACAACUUUUACAGAUAAAAUGUAAUCUAUACUAUCACAUUACCAAUCAUAGUCAUUCUUAUCAUUCUCCAAAUUGAGAAACUUAUCAGUUCCACUCUUGCGCGUCAUCAGUUCCACUCUUGCGCGUGGAGGGCGCCGGCGUAGAUGAGGAUAUAUUAAAAAUGGGAGAAGUUCCGGGUUUAGCCCCUGCAAAUGUCGAAACAACCACACUAGUCAACCCACAUUUCCAAACAAUUCAAGCCAACUAUUACACUAAUACAGCACCAGUUCAAGAACUAAAUUUGAAAUCCUAUGUUACAAUCCAAAAUCCGAAAAAAAAACUAAGACUUGGGAACUGAGAAGUACCUAAAGGCGCAACGAACUCUUCAGAAGUGUUGAGAAGAAGAUCGUUCCUCUCCUUCUCCCUCUUCUUCAUCUCUAGAAACAACACCAGCUCUUCUUCCUUCUCCUUCCUCAUCAAGGCCCUCAGCUUGUGAAGUUCCAAGUACUUCCGGUAUGUUAAGCAAAAAAUAUAACAGGUGUUUAUCAUGGCACAAUACACCUGUUUGGUAGAACAACAUCCAUGGCCAGGAACUUGUCCUCAUUCUGGUCUCAGCUUCAGUUAAAUGUUAUAUGUUUAGCAGGGUAACUGAAGAAUGGAAGAAGCGAUUUUUCUUUUUCAAAGAACAAUAUUAAGACAUUAAGUGGGGGCAAUUGCCCUCACUAGGCAUAACAUGCGUCCGCCUAUGGCAGUAGAAGUAAUUCACUGACUCACUAUUAAGAGACUACAUACCUACAUUCUAAUCUGAACAUGUAAACUUUGAGUUUCAGAAAUGUACAAGUUUGGAGUAUUUCUGCUAGGGAUGAUGGUAAACAGGAUGCCACAAAAAGAGUUUGAGAGGUGCAACGAUUGUUAUAUGCAGAAUGCAUUAUCUUAGAAAUCGAGAGACACCGACAGACCCGAAAAUGGAAUUGACUCAAAACAUUGAUGCAAAUAUUCAAAAUACUCUUAAAACAAUAUCCUUACUUCACAGUUCACAUUCAAUAUACUCAUAUCUCACGAUGUUAAGCUGAAUAAAAUUCAAGGGAAUUGAGAUGAACAUGCCAAUCUAUAUACUAAUCAUUACUAUUGCAGCAUAAUACUCCAACAUUCUCAACUCGCAAAAAAGGAUAGAUUAACACAACAAAGCUUUAAUUCAACCAAUAUAUACAAACUCAUCAUUGAUCGUUACCUUCACCAACGAGAUGGCAGUUACCAACAAGAUGAAUACUUCAAUCGGCUGCAAAUUCGAAAAAAAUUUAUUUAUCCCCAAUUUCGGAUUAAAUCUAACGCCGGGCCCAAGGUUUCAAACAUUUUUACGAUCUUGGGUUGUCCGGAAUGGAAUGUUGACAGCCAAGAGGACCUCGAUGUCGAUCGAUUGCUUGAGUAAUAGACCCGGUAAGCAAGAGGAUGAGUGGUUGGUCGGCUUGAAUGGGUUAUGCUAUUAUUGUUUUAUUGCGUCUGCUUUUUCUUUUUUCUUUUUUAUUCCAGUGGUUAACGCCACUUGACUAACGCCUUCUUUCACGUGCACUGCAUAUGGGCGUGUACAUCCACGGCCGUGCACACAAGACACUCAGCUGGAAACUUCCACGAACAAUAGAUGAUUGAAGACCCAGUUUGCUUCUGAAGAUUGAAAAGUCUUGCGUGUGGACUUUCUCACCAGUUUGCUCCACAAGACACUCCGGUUUUUCAAAAUUUCUCUCCGAUCACUAUUUGAUCGGAGUGUCUUGUGGAGCAAACCGGAGUGUCUUCAAUCAUCUAUUGUUCGUGGAAAUUUCCAGCGGGACAAAAACCUUUCGUGUUCUUCAUCUCAGUUCUAACUUUCAAACUCGAAUGACUAAUUGGAUUCUUCACCUUCAUUUCUAUAAUGGGUGCGAGUCCUCUUUUACUCACGAUCCUCACCCUCUCUUUCUUCUUAUCAGGUAAGUAAUCCAUCAUCAACUCCUCCAUAUCGAGUGAUCGAACAAACUGGUGUUUACUUUUUAGUGAUCGAGUGCAGAAACAGAGUCCGUAUCGCUCCAGAUAGUCAACAAGUGCAACGACACAAUCUGGCCCGGAAUUCUCUCCACCGGCAGAGUAAAACUGUCGACCACCGGCUUCACGCUCGAAAGCGGCGCGUCCUUGAACCUCUCCGUCCCCGACUCCUGGACAGGUCGUGUCUGGGCCCGGACACUCUGCAACCAAUAUUCCAGCGGAAACUUCUCCUGUUUCACCGCCGACUGCGGCACCGGAAAAAUCGAGUGCGACGGAAACUUUGGCAGUCUGCCGGCUACUACAGCCGAGUUCAGUCUCAACAGGACCGGCGGCGUGGACUUCUAUUUCGUCAGCCUCGUCACCGGGUUCAACCUCCCGAUAGUGGUGGAGCCUCGCGGAGCAGGCAGCAACAACUGCAGCUCUUCGGGAUGCUCGGCCGACUUGAACGGCGAUUGUCCCAAGGAGCUGAGGGUGGCGCGUGAGGGGAGCCAAGGGACCGUGGCGUGCAUGACGCCGUGCAUGGCGUUCAAUAAUUCGCGGUUUUGUUGUACGUAUCGUGCAUCCGACACGUGUGAUGGGACCGUAUAUAGCGAUUAUUUCAAACAAAGAUGCCCACAAGCGUAUACCUACUCGUAUGAUGACAACCAGAGUACGUACACCUGUGCUUCAGCUAAUGACUACAGCAUUGUUUUCUGUCCUAUCAGGUACCUAGUCCAUUAUAUAUUGUCACGUUUUAUGAUGUUCCAUUUGAGAGUCAUGUUGUAGAACCACUGCGAUUAAUCAAUUCUUGCUAUUAUAACAUGUCAAGAUGUCAAGAACCAGUAUGUUGCAUAUGAAGUUCUUGAGGAAUGUGGUAGUGAUAAGUUCUUGAGGAAUGUGCAAGUGCAAGGGGUUAAUAGUAGGUUCGAAGUUUUCUAAUUAUGUAGAACACUAGAAUUAGUAGUAUACAACUAGAAUUCAGAAAUCAUCCAUGAUACGAAUGCAGGUUAUUACAAAAGAUUUACUCCAAUUAAAGCACGUUAAUAACUGGUAACCAUCAAGCUUCGAUUCUUUAUGUCAGUUUGGACCAAACACCUUCGAAAAGUAAAAACCACAAAAUCGUGAUUGCCUUUAUAGCGGCAAGUGCUCAGAUUAUCAUCUACAUAACGAUGUUUGCGGGCCUAUGGAGCAUUACAUCGAAGAGACGACAAGGUUAGCAAAAUGAAUGCAUAGGCCGACUUGGAAUGCAGGACUUUCAGUUUUUUAGCUCGUCAUUUAUGUGAUGAUCACUCUGGUUUUUGGUGUAGAUAUCAAAAAUAGUUCAUUGGAGUUGGAGGAUGGUCGACGCUUCAUGUACUCGGAGCUUGUAAAGAUUACCAAUAAUUUUGCAUCGCCAAUUGGAGCUGGUGGAUUUGGAAAAGUCUAUCAUGGUCUUCUGGAAAAUGAUAUUCAAGUUGCUGUCAAGUUACUUAUUUCCGCAUCAGGCUCCAGUGAAUUUCAAAAUGAGGUAGAUAAGUUAACAAUCUAGCUCUAAAGCGACUCGGACUGUUCCAAAACCGCAAUUAACAUUAACUUUGAGCCAUAUAUAACAAACUGUAUGCAGGUUAAGCUAUUGAUGAGAGCUCAUCAUAGAAAUGUGGUUUCCUUCAUUGGCUACAGCUAUGAUGGAAAGACUAUGGCACUUGUAUUUGAAUAUGUGGCCAACGGAAAUCUGCGGCAACAUUUAACAUUUUCAGGUAUGCACUUAUCAUACUUCAUCUAUAUAUAUGAUGUGCUUGCAUUACUUGAUGAUCACUUAUAUGGCCUAAAUGCAAUCAUUUGUGCACUGUUGAGGUUCAGAUGCAGCCACUGGAAACAUUUUGACUUGGAAGGAGAGACUUCAAAUCGCAGUGGAUGCAGCACAUGGUAUAGAAUAGCUGACAUAUAAGAUAAAUAUAUAUGUUAAAGAGUUUGUUUCUUUGGUUCCCCUAUAUAUAUUCAUCAUGUAGUUCUAAAUCAUGAUCAUGUUGAAAUUUGAUGUACAUUAGUACAAGGCAUCGAUUAGGCUUUUAAAUGGCAGAUGAUAUUUUGCAGGACUGGAUUAUCUACACAAUGAUUGCAAGCCUCCCAUAAUCCACAGAGAUAUAAAGACCUCCAAUAUAUUGUUAACUGAAAAGACGCAAGCCAAGAUAUGUGAUUUUGGUGUUUCCAAACUUCUUUCAACUGAAACGGCCACUCAUACCAUGACAGAUCACGUCAGAGGAACUCGCGGAUACUUUGAUCCUGAGUAAGUUAGUAAAGACAUAUAUUAGACAUAUAAGUUGCUCUAAAUUGCUGAUAGAUAAGCAUAACUUACAUUCUUCGAUUUUCUUCUUUUCAUUUCAUUAUGUUCAGAUACUACACCACAGGAAAGCUGAACAAAAAGAGUGAUAUAUACAGCUUUGGGGUUGUGUUGCUAGAGCUGAUCACCGGAAGAACAGCAAUAAUAACAGAUGUAGAACCCGAACCUGUUCACAUUUGUCAAUGGGUGAGGCCUAUGUUUCAGAGAAGAGAUAUUGAAAGCAUAUUGGAUUCAAGGAUACAAGCAGGGACUUACACUGUUUCCUCUGCUUGGAAGGCGGUAGAAAUCGCCAUGGAAUGUGUGUCCUCAACAGCUACCGAAAGACCAGAUAUCACUGUCGUGUAUAAGGAAUUGAAGGAAUGUUUGGAAAUUGAGGUUCCACCUGAAAUACCAAAGGAUCCAGAGGUUGAUGAGAGUGAUGAUUGCAGUACUAGUUCAAGUGUCCCUGUUCCCAUGAUGUCCCACACUCGGUCUGAAAGCUUCUUAGUAGACAUGAAGUCACACAUUGAGUCUGAAACUGAAAGGCAUACGUAUUAGUUAUUCUUGCACUGUAAAACCAAGAUUGGAAAUUUGGAAUUAUACGAGAGCGGGAACUGAUUGGUUUCUACAAAUCUAGUAGAACAUUGCUCCAAUUGUGGGUUUCUCUGGAUUGCAAGAGGAUAUUACCUCCGAUGAAUCCAGAAGAAUGUUUAAAAUUAAGUUCUUGCAACUGGAAGUCUGGAAGAGACACUCUAUCAAUUGAUGCCAAAGGAACACUUGGGGUACCUUGUUGCUGUAAAUUGCAGGUUACCAGUUUUUCAACCUUCGUGUUUGUUUGAGGACCAAUCUGCUCAUGUAACAACAUUUGCAUUAUCAAUGCAUCAGCCACUUGGUUCCCUUUUUCGAAAAAUAUGUGAAAAACGAAAUUGCAUCACUGGAAUUCCAUGCCACAUCUCUAGUUAUCAAUGGACCAUUUAGGGAGUAUAGAAAAUCUAGAAUUAGAGACGACUUCAAACCAAAUAUGCAAGCUGGAUUGCCUUCAUCAUUGUCGUAACCUCAGCAACAAUUAUCAAGUGAUGAAGCAAAAGCAUGGACAAUCCUCACCUUGAAAAUCAUGAAAAACUCCACCAUAGCCCGACUGAUCCUCCCCACACUUUUAAGCGCCGUCUGUGUCAACCUUUACCAAACCAAUAAUGGGAGGUUUCCAAUUCACCUCAAAAAUAAGGGCAUGACGCGGCCGACAAGUAACACCAAACCAGCUAGUCAAGAGGACAAAACACAGACAAAAAAGAGAAAAUUACAUAGUAAUACAUGACCAAAUUUACAAACACAAAAACCAACUUUCAAUAUUUUUUGUACAAAUUAGGACAUGAGUACGUGCCGAAAACUAGUGGUACCAGAUAUGAUCCACACUUUCAUAAGCAAAUAACCAAUAUACCCACCGCGUUAUCUUCUUUCUCCAUCACCCAUAUCUCUCUCUCUCUCUCUCUCUCUCUNNNNNNNNNNNNNNNNNNNNCUCUCUACUCAGUACUCACCAUCAUCGCUGCCCCUCCUCCUCCACUGCCUCACUGUCGCCGCCGCAACAAUUGACGGUUCCCCUCAUCCGCGCCACACCAUCGCCGUCCUCUUCCUUCGUUGGUCGCCACGUCAGAAUCAACAGUAGUAGAAUCGCGUCUUCCUCCUAUCCAAGCUUGAUCACAUCACCUCUGUCCUUUGACGCUCGUCAAAGAGGCACGCCGCACGACGAUGCUCGACGACUACGACGCCCAGAUCGCAUCACUUCAGUCCUCCGAUGUCGGAUCUCAUACAACGUCAAGCUCUUAGAUCUGGUUAUGCAAACUGAUGUGAUCUGGUCGUCAUAUUCAUAUCCUAGCACCUUGUCAUGAUUUGGUUUGAAUUUGAAGCAUUGCAUAUGUUGGAGCAAACCUUGAUGCAUGGAUUUGAUCUUCAAUUUAUAUGAGAUGUUCAUGGAUUUGAUCUUCAGUUGGUAUGAGAUGCAUGGUGUCACCGUCUCUCAUUUGUCUCACUCAGUAGCAGUGAUAUAAAUGAGGUUGAAUGGUUUGGGUUUUGGUUGAUUAGUAGGUGAUGCCAUAUAUGAAUGAGGUUUGUUGUGAGAACAUGAAUGAGAUCUGUUUAUUUGAAUGAGGUUUGCUUAUCAAGUUAAACCAUUACUUGUUGUGGUAGAUGUAGUUUUAAAGUUCAUUAGUAGUGAUACGUACAGUAGCAGCAACGUUAUCAUCAGAGUCGGCUCGGCAGUAGUAGCGCUAGCAUCAAAGUUGGUAGUAGCAGCGCUCUAGCAUUAGAGUCGACAGUAGCAGCUUUGUUUGAUUUCAGAGAAUUGCCUGAAAAAAUUACAAUAACUCCUUUUUAUCGGGUGCUACUGUGCUACGUGGCAGUAGCACCCAAUGUGCUAUGUGCUAUGUGCUACUGUGCUUCUCAGUAGUGUGCUAUUGUGCUACUUGGCAGUAGCACCCAAUAUGCUAUUGUGCUACUCGGCAGUGUGCUACUGUGCUACAAGUCGAUAGUAGCAGUUGAUAUGUAAUGAAGGGUAUUCUGGUAAAAUUGUAGUGACAGAUGGCAUGUGAGUAUUAGUUUGUCAUAAUUUGUUAAUAUUUGUCUUUAAAUGUGUAAGAUAUUGUGUAAAAGAUGUAUUUGUAAACUGAAAUUUGGUUAAUAACUUUAUAGUAAUUUGCUAAAUUAAAAAAAGUGGGAGAAAAAAUAAUAUAAAAAUAAAUAAAAAUAAAAAAUGUCAUCUAGUAUUAUCUAUAGCCACGAGAAAGAAUGGGUGAAUUCGACUAUACAAGUCGCACAAGAGCAGCAAUGUUGGAAUUCUCAGUUGGUCUUCAAUCAUCUAUUGUUCACCUUUGUCUUCUUCUUCUCAGUUCUAACUUCAAACUCGAAUGACUAACUGGAUUCUUCACCUUCAUUUCUAUAAUGGGUGGGAGUCCUCUUCUACUCACGAUCAUGAUCACCCUUUCUGCUUUCUUCUCAGGUAAUGAAUCCACCCUCAUCUCCUCCAUCUCUGUUUCUUACUGAUCGAACAAACUGGUAUUUACUUCUUGGUUUCUUCAGAAACAGAGUCGACAUCUUUCGAGAUUGUGAACAACUGCAACUACACAAUCUGGCCCGGACUUCGCUCCACCGGCUCAUCACUAAACCUGUCCACCACCGGCUUCACGCUCAGGAGCGGCGCGUCCUUCAACCUCUCCGUCCCCAAAUCCUGGACAGGUCAGGUGUGGGGACGGACACUCUGCAACGAAUCCUCCACCGGAAACUUCUCCUGUUUCACCGCCGACUGCGGCACCGGAAAAGUCGAGUGCGACGGAAAUGGCGCCAUCCCGCCUGCUACUUUUGCUGAAUUCGAACUCAACAACUUCGGCUCCGGCGUGGACUACUAUGACGUCAGCCUGGUCACUGGGUUCAACCUCCCGAUGGUGGUGGAGCCUCGCGGAGCAGGCAGCAACCACUGCAUCUCUUCUGGAUGCUCGGCCGACUUGAACGGCGAUUGUCCCAAGGAGCUGAGGGUGGCGCGUGAGGGGAGCCAAGGGACCGUGGCGUGCAUGACGCCGUGCACGGCGUUCAAUAAUUCGCGGUUUUGUUGUACCGGGGAGUAUAGUACACCCGCCUCGUGUUCUGGGACCGUAUAUACCGAUUAUUUCAAACAAAGAUGCCCAAAGGCGUACACGUAUGCGUUUGAUUUGACGCCUUAUGCCAACCAGACUACGUUUACGUACAGCUGUGCGACAGCUAACUACAGCGUUGUUUUCUGCCCUAUCAGGUACCUAGCUAGUUCAUAAUAUAUUGUCAAAUUUGUCGUUGUUGAACCACUGCAAGUUACUUAGCGGUCAACCCGAGUUCGAUUUCAGAGUGUUGUUAAAGUGGUUAGAAGCUGAAAUGUAUAGUUGGAGCGCUGAGAGAUUAGUCGAUUCUUCGUAUUAUAACAUGUCGAAACGUUGGGCAAGAAGUCGAGAGCCAAUAUGAUGUUUUUGACGAAUGUGGUAGUGAUGAGACAACAAUGUGAAAGUGCAAGGGGUUAUUAGUAGUUUUCUGGGAGUUCUCUGGUUACAGUGUGGGUCUAUAUUAUGUAGAACAGUAGAAUUAGUAGUACUUACAACUUACACGUAGAAAUCUUCCAUGAUACAAAUGCAGGUUAGUAAGAAAGACUAACCAUCAAGCUUCUUUAUGUCAGUUUACCAGCUGAAACACAAGCAGAAACACCAGCCAAAGAACCAACUGUAUCCGAACAGGUUCCUUCGAAAAGUAAAAACCACACAAUCAUGAUUGCCUCUAUAGCGUCAAGUGCUGGGAUUAUCAUCUUCAUAUUAGCGGUGGUAGCAGGCCUAUGGAGCAGUAGAAGGAAGAGACAACAAGGUUAGCAAAAUGAAUACUUAGGCGGACUUUGAAUGCAGGAUUUUCAAUUUUUUAGCUAGUCAUUUUUGUGAUGAUUACUCUGGCUUUUGGUGUAGNNNNNNNNNNNNNNNNNNNNUACNGGAAACAUUUUGACUUGGAAGGAGAGACUUCAUAUCGCAGUGGAUGCAGCACAAGGUAUACAAUAGCUGAGAUAUAAGAACAAUAUAUAUGUGAAAUGGAUUGUUCCUUUGGUCUUCCUAUAUAUUUCCUAAAUCAUGAUUGAGUUGCAAUAUGAUGUACAUUAGUACCUGACAUCGAUUAGGCUUUUAAAAGGCAGAUAAUAUUUUGCAGGACUGGAUUAUCUACAUAAUGGUUGCAAGCCUCCCAUAAUCCACAGAGAUAUAAAGACCUCCAAUAUAUUGUUAACUGAAAAGAUGCAAGCCAAGAUAUGUGAUUUUGGUGUUUCCAAACUUCUUUCAACUGAAACCGCCACUCAUACCAUGACAGAUCACGUCAGAGGAACUAGAGGAUACUUUGAUCCUGAGUAAGUUAGUAAAGACAUACAUAAGUUACUUAGCAUUACUGAAAGAUAAAUUGCUGAUAGAUAAGCAUAACUUACAUUCUUCGGUUUUCUUCUUUUCAUGUCAUUAUGUUCAGAUACUACACCACAGGAAAGCUGAACAAAAAGAGUGAUAUAUACAGCUUUGGUAUUGUGUUGCUAGAACUAAUCACGGGCAGAACAGCAAUAAUAGAAGAUGUAGAACCCGAACCUGUUCACAUAUGUCAAUGGGUGAGGCCUAUGUUUCAGAGAAGAGAUAUUGAAAGUAUAUUGGAUUCAAGGAUACAAGCAGGGACUUACAACGUUUCCUCUGCUUGGAAGGCGGUAGAAAUCGCCAUGGAAUGUGUGUCAUCAACAGCUUUCGAAAGACCAGAUAUCAAUGUUGUGUAUAAGGAACUGAAGGAAUGUUUUGAAAUUGAGGUUCCACCUGAAAUAGCAAAGGUUCCAGAGGUUGAUGAAGAGAGUGAUGAUUGCAGUACUAAUUCAAGUGUUUCUUUUCACAUGGCGUCCCACGCUGAGUCUGAAAGCUUCUUAGUUCAUAUGAAGUCACACAUUGAGUCUGAAACUGAAAGGCAUACGUGUUAGUUAUUAUUUUGUUUUGAAAUCAACAUGUUAGUUAUUCUUGCACUGUUAAAACAAGAUUGGAAUUAUACGGGGGCGGAAACUAAUUGGACUAUUUCUACAAAUCUAGUAGAACAUUGCUCCGAUUUAAACUGUUCGUGGGUUCCUGGAUUGCAAGAGUAUAUUAUUACCUCUGGUGGAUCCAGAAGUAUGUCUUAAAUUAAGUUCUUGCAACUGAAGUGGCACUCGUAUUUCAACUUAUGCAAAGGAACAUUUUGGGUACCUUGAUGCUGUAAACUGCAGGUUAUAAAAACUGAUGAAGAUUUUCAACGUUCGCGAUUAUUUCAGGAUCAAUGACUUCUGAUAAACAGUUGCACAGAUCAAUGAGAGCGUUGUUGAUACGAGUUCGAGCAGCUCAGCUCGUGGAAGAAAGAGCUGCAACACAAAAAUGCUAGAUAGAUAAUUCAUUGUCAAAAGUUUGGUAAUCGAUUAAUUCAUAGUGGGUCGUCCAUCUAUGUAAUGCAACUAGAUAUUGAAAAGGCUUCCAUAGUUUGAAGAAAGUAGUCGUUCAGAAAUCAGAAGUAACAAAUACUGGAGACAACAGAACAAUAACAGGCAGCAGUAAAACCUCUGGUUUUCAAUAACACGGUUGAACUUUUCAAUACAUCUAUCCGCAGAAAAUGAACCCAGAAAGACUGUUAGGCACAUGAACUAGAUUCCCUAAAUAUUACAAAUGUCAUGAAUUACAUCCCUGCCAACAUUUCCAGUAAAAUUUACAUCAAGCAUAGAGGCACAAUUCUGGUCAGGUCUCAGGAAAUUGGCUUUCUUUCAUUUGAUUAUCUAGAUGAUGAUUAGAACCCAAAUUAAGAAUGAUAGAUUAGGGAUGCACGUUUUGUGAGAUUGUAAGCCUCGAAGCCAUCACCUACCUUGCACACCGGCAGGAGAUCGACCACCU
rnacentral:lncRNA from 1 species